GAGAAUGUGAUCCUGGUUCAGGGUGAACGCUAGCGGCGUGCUUAAGGUAUGCAAGUCGAGCGGUGUUUGUAGCAAUACAGGCACAGCGGCGAACGGCUGAGUAACGCGUUGGAAUCUACACCUUACUUGAGGAUAGCCCCGGGAAACUGGGAGUAAUACUCAAUGUGGUCGCAAGACCAAAGACGCAAGUCGGUAAGGGAUGAGCCUGCGUCCUAUCAGGUAGUUGGCGGGGUAAAUGCCCACCAAGCCUAUGACGGGUAGCUGGUCUGAGAGGAUGACCAGCCAGAGGGGCACUGAGACACGGGCCUCACUCCUACGGGAGGCAGCAAUCGGGAAUCUUGCACAAUGGGCGAAAGCCUGAUGCAGCGACGCCGCGUGAAGGAUGAAGGCCUUCGGGUUGUAAACUUACAUUAAGAAGCACCGGCUAACUACGUGCCAGCAGCAGCGGUCAUACGUAGGGUGCAAGCGUUACCCGGAUUUAUUGGGCGUAAAGAGUUCUGUAGGCGGUCGUGUAAGUCAGAGGUUAAAUAUCCCGGCUUAACUGGGAAGCAGCUUUUGAUACUGCGCGACUAGAGAUGGUUAGGGGGCAGCGGAACGUACGGUGGAGCGGUGAAAUGCGUUGAUAUCGUACGGAACACCGAGGGGGAAGCCAGCUGCCUGGGACUUAUCUGACGCUGAGAGACGAAAGCGUGGGGAGCGAAACGGAUUAGAUACCCGUGUAGUCCACGCCGUAAACUAUGUCUGCUAGAUGCCUGCGCAAGUGGGUGUCGAAGCCAACGCGUUAAGCAGACCGCCUGGGGAGUACGGUCGCAAGAUUAAAACUCAAAGGAAUUGGCGGGGACCCGCACAAGCGGUGGAGCAUGCUCUUUAAUUGGCUGAUAACCCAAGAACCUUACCAGGGCUUGAAAUGUAUGUGGUAGGAACGCGAAAGCGCGACGACCGGCUUAAACUCCGGAGCAUACACAGGUGUUGCAUGGCUGUCGUCAGCUCGUACCGUGAGGCGUACCCUUAAGUGGGUUAACGAGCGCAACCCUUAUUGUUAGUUGUAUCACUCUAACAAAACUGCCAUCGUAAGAUGGAGGAAGGUGGGGACGACGUCAAGUCGGUAUUGCCCUUACGUCCUGGGCUAGAAGCAUGCUACAAUGGCCGGUACAGCGAGUUGCAACACAGCGAUGUGAAGCUAAUCUCUAAAAGCCGGUCCCAGUUCGGAUUGAAGUCUGCAAUUCGACUUCAUGAAGUUGGAAUCGCUAGUAAUCGUGGGUCAGACACACCACGGUGAAUACGUUCUCGGGUCUUGCACACACUGCCCGUCACGCCAGCAAAGCUGGGGCCACCUGAAGUCUCAUGUAAAUGGGCCCAAGGUGGAAUCAGUGAUGAGGGUGAAGUCGUAACAAGGUAGCCGUAGGGGAAUCUGCGGCUGGAUCACCUCCUUUCUAG
rnacentral:rRNA from 1 species